rnacentral:rRNA from 1 species
CACGUAGGUGACCUGCCCCGGAGAGGGGGACAACCACUGGAAACGGUGGCUAAUACCCCAGAUGUUAUUGUGCUUAGAAAGCAAUUACUAAAGCUCCGGCGUUCCGGGAGGGGCCUGAGGCCCAUCAGCUUGUUGGUAGGGUAAUGGCCUACCAAGGCAAAGACGGGUAGGGGGCGUGAGAGCGUGACCCCCCACACUGGUACUGAGACACGGACCAGAUACCUGCGGGUAGCAGCAGCAAGGAAUAUUGCCCAAUGGACGAAAGUCUGAGGCAGCAACACCGCGUGGAGGAUGAAGGCCUUCGGGUUGUAAACUCCUUUUCUGGGGGAAGAGAAAGGACGGUACCCCAGGAAUAAGUCUCGGCUAACUACGUG